CUGGAAUGAUGCGAAAUUAGCCAAAUCAGACAUCUAUGUGCUCCUGCAGGCUUUCUCAUACAAGCUUUCCCUAAUAUUGGUGCUCUUGGUGAAAUUUCCUUUCUUGGGAAAUUUUGCUAAGCACUUUCUUGAGCUUGCAUUUAGAUGCCUUCAGUGGAAGCGCAUAUCUCUGAUGAUAACAGCGAGAUUGGUUGCUUGCUGACCAGA